rnacentral:rRNA from 1 species
GGUUAAGUGACUAAGCGUACACGGUGGAUGCCCUGGCAGUCAGAGGCGAUGAAGGACGUGCUAAUCUGCGAAAAGCGUCGGUAAGGUGAUAUGAACCGUUAUAACCGGCGAUGUCCGAAUGGGGAAACCCAGUGCAAUUCGUUGCACUAUCGUUAACUGAAUACAUAGGUUAACGAGGCGAACCGGGGGAACUGAAACAUCUAAGUACCCCGAGGAAAAGAAAUCAACCGAGAUUCCCCCAGUAGCGGCGAGCGAACGGGGAGCAGCCCAGAGUCUGAAUCAGCUUGUGUGUUAGUGGAACGGUCUGGAAAGUCCGACGGUACAGGGUGAUAGUCCCGUACACCAAAAUGCACAGGCUGUGAACUCGAAGAGUAGGGCGGGACACGUGGUAUCCUGUCUGAAUAUGGGGGGACCAUCCUCCAAGGCUAAAUACUCCUGACUGACCGAUAGUGAACCAGUACCGUGAGGGAAAGGCGAAAAGAACCCCGGCGAGGGGAGUGAAAAAGAACCUGAAACCGUGUACGUACAAGCAGUGGGAGCACCUUCGGGUGUGACUGCGUACCUUUUGUAUAAUGGGUCAGCGACUUAUAUUCUGUAGCAAGGUUAACCGUAUAGGGGAGCCGCAGGGAAACCGAGUCUUAACUGGGCGUUAAGUUGCAGGGUAUAGACCCGAAACCCGGUGAUCUAGCCAUGGGCAGGUUGAAGGUUGGGUAACACUAACUGGAGGACCGAACCGACUAAUGUUGAAAAAUUAGCGGAUGACUUGUGGCUGGGGGUGAAAGGCCAAUCAAACCGGGAGAUAGCUGGUUCUCCCCGAAAGCUAUUUAGGUAGCGCCUCGUGAACUCAUCUUCGGGGGUAGAGCACUGUUUCGGCUAGGGGGUCAUCCCGACUUACCAACCCGAUGCAAACUACGAAUACCGAAGAAUGUUAUCACGGGAGACACACGGCGGGUGCUAACGUCCGUCGUGAAGAGGGAAACAACCCAGACCGCCAGCUAAGGUCCCAAAGUCAUGGUUAAGUGGGAAACGAUGUGGGAAGGCACAGACAGCCAGGAUGUUGGCUUAGAAGCAGCCAUCAUUUAAAGAAAGCGUAAUAGCUCACUGGUCGAGUCGGCCUGCGCGGAAGAUGUAACGGGGCUAAACCAUGCACCGAAGCUGCGGCAGCGACACGAUGUGUUGUUGGGUAGGGGAGCGUUCUGUAAGCCUGCGAAGGUGACCUGUGAGGGUUGCUGGAGGUAUCAGAAGUGCGAAUGCUGACAUAAGUAACGAUAAAGCGGGUGAAAAGCCCGCUCGCCGGAAGACCAAGGGUUCCUGUCCAACGUUAAUCGGGGCAGGGUGAGUCGACCCCUAAGGCGAGGCCGAAAGGCGUAGUCGAUGGGAAACAGGUUAAUAUUCCUGUACUUGGUGUUACUGCGAAGGGGGGACGGAGAAGGCUAUGUUAGCCGGGCGACGGUUGUCCCGGUUUAAGCAUGUAGGCUGGUUAUCCAGGCAAAUCCGGAUAAUCAAGGCUGAGGUGUGAUGACGAGGCACUACGGUGCUGAAGUAACAAAUGCCCUGCUUCCAGGAAAAGCCUCUAAGCAUCAGGUAACAUCAAAUCGUACCCCAAACCGACACAGGUGGUCAGGUAGAGAAUACCAAGGCGCUUGAGAGAACUCGGGUGAAGGAACUAGGCAAAAUGGUGCCGUAACUUCGGGAGAAGGCACGCUGGUGUGUAGGUGAAGCCCCUGCGGGUGGAGCUGAGACCAGUCGAAGAUACCAGCUGGCUGCAACUGUUUAUUAAAAACACAGCACUGUGCAAACACGAAAGUGGACGUAUACGGUGUGACGCCUGCCCGGUGCCGGAAGGUUAAUUGAUGGGGUUAUCCGUAAGGAGAAGCUCUUGAUCGAAGCCCCGGUAAACGGCGGCCGUAACUAUAACGGUCCUAAGGUAGCGAAAUUCCUUGUCGGGUAAGUUCCGACCUGCACGAAUGGCGUAAUGAUGGCCAGGCUGUCUCCACCCGAGACUCAGUGAAAUUGAACUCGCUGUGAAGAUGCAGUGUACCCGCGGCAAGACGGAAAGACCCCGUGAACCUUUACUAUAGCUUGACACUGAACAUUGAGCCUUGAUGUGUAGGAUAGGUGGGAGGCUUUGAAGCGUGGACGCCAGUCUGCGUGGAGCCAACCUUGAAAUACCACCCUUUAAUGUUUGAUGUUCUAACGUUGGCCCCUUAUCGGGGUUGCGGACAGUGUCUGGUGGGUAGUUUGACUGGGGCGGUCUCCUCCCAAAGCGUAACGGAGGAGCACGAAGGUUAGCUAAUCCUGGUCGGACAUCAGGAGGUUAGUGCAAUGGCAUAAGCUAGCUUGACUGCGAGCGUGACGGCGCGAGCAGGUGCGAAAGCAGGUCAUAGUGAUCCGGUGGUUCUGAAUGGAAGGGCCAUCGCUCAACGGAUAAAAGGUACUCCGGGGAUAACAGGCUGAUACCGCCCAAGAGUUCAUAUCGACGGCGGUGUUUGGCACCUCGAUGUCGGCUCAUCACAUCCUGGGGCUGAAGUAGGUCCCAAGGGUAUGGCUGUUCGCCAUUUAAAGUGGUACGCGAGCUGGGUUUAGAACGUCGUGAGACAGUUCGGUCCCUAUCUGCCGUGGGCGCUGGAGAAUUGAGGGGGGCUGCUCCUAGUACGAGAGGACCGGAGUGGACGCAUCACUGGUGUUCGGGUUGUCAUGCCAAUGGCACUGCCCGGUAGCUAAAUGCGGAAGAGAUAAGUGCUGAAAGCAUCUAAGCACGAAACUUGCCCCGAGAUGAGUUCUCCCUGAGACUUUAAGUCUCCUGAAGGAACGUUGAAGACGACGACGUUGAUAGGCCGGGUGUGUAAGCGCAGCGAUGCGUUGAGCUAACCGGUACUAAUGAACCGUGAGGCUUAACCUU